rnacentral:tRNA from 1 species
AAAGAUGUAGUUCAGUGGUAAAGUAUUUGCCUCACACGUAUAAGGCCCUGGGUUCAAUGCCCAGCACCACUC